rnacentral:rRNA from 1 species
CCUACGGGCGGCAGCAGUGGGGAAUAUUGCACAAUGGGCGCAAGCCUGAUGCAGCCAUGCCGCGUGUGUGAAGAAGGCCUUCGGGUUGUAAAGCACUUUCGGCGGGGAGGAAGGCGGUGAGGUUAAUAACCUCAUCGAUUGACGUUACCCGCAGAAGAAGCACCGGCUAACUCCGUGCCAGCAGCCGCGGUAAUACGGAGGGUGCAAGCGUUAAUCGGAAUUACUGGGCGUAAGGCGCACGCAGGCGGUCUGUCAAGUCGGAUGUGAAAUCCCCGGGCUCAACCUGGGAACUGCAUUCGAAACUGGCAGGCUAGAGUCUUGUAGAGGGGGGUAGAAUUCCAGGUGUAGCGGUGAAAUGCGUAGAGAUCUGGAGGAAUACCGGUGGCGAAGGCGGCCCCCUGGACAAAGACUGACGCUCAGGUGCGAAAGCGUGGGGAGCAAACAGGAUUAGAUACCCGUGUAGUC